rnacentral:rRNA from 1 species
AACGCUGGCGGCGUGCAUGAGACAUGCAAGUCGAACGAAGGAUCGGGCUUGCUCGAUCCUUAGUGGCGGACGGCUGAGUAACGCGUAGGUGACCUACCCCGAAGUGGGGAAUAACUGCCCGAAAGGGUGGCUAAUACCGCAUGUGGUCGCACGUUCAUUCGUGCGAGUAAAGCCGCAAGGCGCUUCGGGAGGGGCCUGCGUCCGAUUAGCUCGUUGGUGGGGUAAUGGCUUACCAAGGCGACGAUCGGUAGGUGGUCUGAGAGGACGAUCACCCAGACUGGGACUGAGACACGGCCCAGACUCCUACGGGAGGCAGCAGUCGGGAAUUUUGCUCAAUGGGGGAAACCCUGAAGCAGCAACGCCGCGUGAGGGAUGAAGGCCUUCGGGUUGUAAACCUCUUUUGUCAGGGACGAUGAUGACGGUACCUGGCGAAUAAGCCACGGCUAACUACGUG